CAUAAGCCAGCUUGACUGCGAGCGUGACGGCGCGAGCAGGUGCGAAAGCAGGUCAUAGUGAUCCGGUGGUUCUGAAUGGAAGGGCCAUCGCUCAACGGAUAAAAGGUACUCCGGGGAUAACAGGCUGAUACCGCCCAAGAGUUCAUAUCGACGGCGGUGUUUGGCACCUCGAUGUCGGCUCAUCACAUCCUGGGGCUGAAGUAGGUCCCAAGGGUAUGGCUGUUCGCCAUUUAAAGUGGUACGCGAGCUGGGUUUAGAACGUCGUGAGACAGUUCGGUCCCUAUCUGCCGUGGGCGCUGGAGAACUGAGGGGGGCUGCUCCUAGUACGAGAGGACCGGAGUGGACGCAUCACUGGUGUUCGGGUUGUCAUGCCAAUGGCACUGCCCGGUAGCUAAAUGCGGAAGAGAUAAGUGCUGAAAGCAUCUAAGCACGAAACUUGCCCCGA
rnacentral:rRNA from 2 species